AACGAACGCUGGCGGCAUGCCUAACACAUGCAAGUCGAACGAUCCCUUCGGGGAUAGUGGCGCACGGGUGCGUAACGCGUGGGAACCUGCCCUUAGGUUCGGAAUAACUCAGAGAAAUUUGAGCUAAUACCGGAUAAUGUCUUCGGACCAAAGAUUUAUCGCCUUUGGAUGGGCCCGCGUUGGAUUAGCUAGUUGGUGGGGUAAAGGCCUACCAAGGCGACGAUCCAUAGCUGGUCUGAGAGGAUGAUCAGCCACACUGGGACUGAGACACGGCCCAGACUCCUACGGGAGGCAGCAGUGGGGAAUAUUGGACAAUGGGCGAAAGCCUGAUCCAGCAAUGCCGCGUGAGUGAUGAAGGCCUUAGGGUUGUAAAGCUCUUUUACCUGGGAUGAUAAUGACAGUACCGGGAGAAUAAGCCCCGGCUAACUCCGUG
rnacentral:rRNA from 1 species